GAUGAAGAACGUAGCGAAAUGCGAUACUUGGUGUGAAUUGCAGAAUCCCGUGAACCAUCAAGUCUUUGAACGCAAGUUGCGCCCGAAGCCAUUAGGCCGAGGGCACGCCUGCCUGGGCGUCACACGUCGUUGCCCCCCCAUCUAAUCCUUCGGGAUUGCGGGGGGCGGAUGAUGGCCUCCCGUGCGCCUCGUCGCGCGGUUGGCAUAAAUGCCAAGUCCUCGGCGACGCACGCCACGACAAUCGGUGGUUGCGAAACCUCGGUUGCCCGUUGUGUGCGGUCGUCGCGCAUCGAGGGCUCGAAAAAAUUGCCGGGCUCCGGCUCGACUUUCAACGCGACCCCAGGUCAGGCGGGGUUACCCGCUGAAUUUAAGCAUAUCAAUAAGCGGAGA
rnacentral:misc_RNA from 1 species